rnacentral:lncRNA from 1 species
CUUUGAUGUUAUGAGACGGGAGUAGCCCUUUCUAUGUUGCUAUCAUGCUUGACUAUGCUUGACUAGGAAGUGAGAGGAAAGAACUUCUAGUAAAUAAAAGGGCCUUGCUUAAUGGUUAAUUAUUGCAUUCUUUUUGUUUUGUUUUGUUCCUUUUUUUUUUCAAUUUACCUGUAUUGGAAAUAAUCUAUUCUGGAAGUCAAAGUUAGGAGGUAUUAAUUGUAUUAUGUGCUUUUAUAAUUUACAACAAAUAUGCUGUAUACUUUUACAACAAAUUUUAUUUACACUAAGAAUGUCCAAUUAUAAUGCCGGAUACUUUUUUUCAUUCUCUCAGAUUUCUACACUGUAUUUUCUGGGAAUGGCUGGCCACUUUGCUUUGGGGAACAGCAACAGUCUAGCCACUAUUGAUGUUGCUGGAGCUUUUAUUGUACGUGGUGCUCUUCAUCAGGGUCUUUUUUUCCAAUACUAUUUUCAUUUCACCAAACCUUUUAAUUUGCCAACAUGGUUAUCUAAUAUGUCUGGACAUCGAUCAACACUUUUUCAGGGCAUCUCUAGUCACUCAACUCUUCUUUCUGGCGUUUUAAUGCUCAUAAUCACCUAUGCAUCUCCCUUGCUGGUUCUUUUUGCAUUGGUGGUCUACAUGUCUGUGAAGGGCUGUCUUGUUACUCAGAAUGUCAAUUCAGGACAUCUUCUCCAGACAAUGCUGGGCUUUCCUUGUCUGGUUCCGCUGACCUUAAAUUCAAUUCUAUUGACAGCAUACACAAUUGUAUUGCUGUUAAUGAGGAAUCAUUUAUUUGUUUGGAGUGUAUUUUCUCCGAAGUAAGUCUCACUGCACUCAACUGGUGUUGACUUAUUCAUAAAUAAUUGAAGCAUUGUAUAACAUAUGUUGCAUUUACCUCUAGUCAUAUAACCAAAGGGGCCAGUGUCACAAAAAAGUACUGAAACCAAAAUUUGACCUUUUUCCAGAGGGCAUGGAAUUCUGCUCUCUGAUAACAAAAUGAUAAUAGAAAAACUACUUGAAAAACCAUGUAGUUCCUGAUAUGCGGUUGGAAAGAUUUUUUAGUUUAAAACUAAUAACAGUCUUGGUCUCACAUUCUUCCUUUAGGUACCUAUAUGUAUGUGCUUUAGUUUAAAACUAACAGUCUCGGUCUCGCAUUCUUCCUUUAGGUACCUAUAUGUAUGUGCUACUUCAGUUUGCAUCUACAUUGGGAUCUUUGUUGUGGCCGCAACUGGGACAUACACUUACCUUGUGCUGGGCAAGCGAAAAAUUAUGCAAGUUUCAAUCACCAAUGACAGAAGAUAGUGCUUGGAGCACUAAUUCUAUAAAACCGGACUUUCAUUGCUUGGAGCUACGCGAACUCAAGUUUGGAGACUUUUAAACCAACUCAUACUAAUCAUUCUUUUGUUGCCCCUUUGCUUCAUUUGAUUUUAUGAGAUUCUGCCAAUGCUAAUACACUAGAGAAUGUAGUGCUGAGUGCUGACAAUUUUGAGUCGCUUUUGUAUAAUUUCAUUCUAAUGUAAAAAAGUUAUUGUUCUUUGGUCAUGCUUCAUUGGGAAUGACCUGCAAUAGAGAUUUGAGAAUUAUAACGGAUUCUUUUAUUUCGUUAAAUGCAAGUGGGCACAAAAGUCAUCAUACUCAAUGUAACUCUGAUUGCAGUUAACUUUACGGAGUGGUAACAACCUUACAAUGGGCAGCGGACUUGGCGCCGUUAAUUUGUUUGAGAGAGAUUGUGCAUAGAAACGUUAAUAUAUUGUCCAUAGAAACGUUGUUAUAUUAACUGUGGCGUAGUUCAAGGAAGCUGCUCAGAUUUGGAGGGAAUAAUUCUUAGCUAAACAAUGUGGAGGAUAGUAAUUUCUUAAUGUGGUGUGUUGACUGUGUUUGAGCUUUAGAAGAAAUGAAGGGAUGGUAAAGCGAACAGGGACGUUUAGUUGUGUUGCUAAGAAAUUUCACCGACACCAAAAGAGAUAUAAUCAAAAACUAAAUUUAACAAGCAACAAGUCUAGAUGAGAAGGUUAACUAACCAGUGGCACUUCUCAACACUUGGCCACCUACAUCUCAUCAAACGCCAUGAAGCAUUUCUUUGCCUCUAUAAAUAGCCAUAAUUCUGCUGCUUUCCCCCACUCAGUACAUAGAGCUUCUCCAGAAAAAUCAAGAACUUGUUGUCCCAGCUGCUUUCCAUCGUAUUUCCUUCAAAAACAUGGCAGCUCUUAAGCAUUGCUUUCUGUUAUCUAUGAUUGUAGCAUUUUCAUUGUCAAGUUUUCAAAUGAGCAUGGCAGCUCGCAACCUUUUGCAAGCACCAGCGGGGCCGCUGCCAACACUUCCACCAAUGCCUAAGGUGGCAUUGCCUCCAAUGCCAUCGAUCCCAACUCUGCCGCAAGCCACACUUCCACCAUUGCCAACUCUGCCAAAUCAACCAACUCUUCCAAAGCUCCCAACUCUGCCUCCCAUGCCAGCAGCACCAAAGGUGACACUUCCUCCAUUGCCCUCAAAUCCAAUUCCCACUACAAUCCCUUCAAUUCCAAACAUUCCCUCCACAAUCCCAACUAUUCCUUUCCUCUCUCCACCCCCAUCUACCUAAUUAAACCCACUUUUUUAUUCUGCGGACUGUAGUUCCAUGUGUUUCUCCUAGUCUUGCUUGCUACUGAUUAUACUUCUGUUAUUUCUACAUACAUGAGUUUGUUCGAUUGAUGGAUUGUCUUAUAUACAUUAGUUUGUCUCCGAGAUUCUGAGUUUUAUAUUGCCAUAAUGUAUUUUUUUAAUUCUCAUACUUCACUCUUCGGAGUGAGUUGUUAUAUGUAGUGUAAUUUUUUUAUUGUAUUAUUGCUAUGAUAGAUAUAUGAUCAUUUCAUUCGCCUAUUUUGGUCAUGACCCAUGAGGUCCUUUCCGGAUUAUUUCCUCAAACUUACGUCUUCAUCACAUCGCUCAACAAAAUAACGAGAAAAAGGAAAAAGAAAAUGUAGCUUUUUCUUUUAGCAGCAAUAAAAUGAUCAAUGAAUAUUAUAUACGACAUUUUUUUUCCCCAUCUGAAAAGGGAGCAUUUUUUUAAUUCUAUUCAAGUCUCAUGUUAUUUGACUAAAUACACGUCCUACAAUCAUCAAAAGCAUCAUCAGCUAUGGUUUUUUUUUCUUAAAUAUAUCAUCAAUAACCAAAAUACAGUAGUUUGGGAGGCUUAAUAUCUCAUAGUACAAGAUAGUAUAUCGAGCUAAAGAGGAUUAGAUUAGAUUAGGUUGAACUGGACGUCAUAGAAUUCAAUUUAAUUAUAUAGUUCGUUAUGUAUUUUAUGUGAUACAAGAUUAAACUCAAGUAAUGGAAUUAAUUUAGAAGAAAAUUUUAAUAUACUAAUUUUAAUUUAUUAAUUAUUAGAUAACUAAAAAUAUUUUAUUGAUAAUAGUAAAUUUAUUAAAAGUUAAUGUAUGCUAUAUCAAGGGGUGGACAUUCAAUUUGGUUCAGCUUGGUUCAAGUAGUAAGAAACAAAUGGUUCAAAAAGUGUGAACCAAAUCGAAUAAUGCCCAGCCCUAAAUGUAGUUAUAAAUUUACUACAAAAAUGACAUAUAGAAAAUAUUAUAAAAACUGGGAGUUUUUUUUUUUUAAAGAAAUUUGAAAAUUUGUAAAAAAAAAAAAAAAUUAUUUUGGACCUUAGAAUCGACUUUUAUGUUUUUUUUUCCUUUACUUUAAUUUCACCAAUACCUAUGUGCAUGUGAAAAAACCAACUCAAAAUUCAACCGCAAAGAUCCAUGCCCAGUUUAGGGCCAAAAUUAUGUGCUAUAACAUUUGGUUAUGGGCCUAACCAGGGAUUGGAAGCUUCUGCUUUAUUUUCCUAAGUUUUUUUUUCCAAUUAAAACUUCAUAUGUGGCAUAAAAAGGUCUACCACAAUGUUUCAAGGUAAGUUCUCCUAAUUUUCCGAGAUUCUUUUUAUUUUUGGAUAAUUUUUUAGAAAUUCAUAAAAAUUAUUUCGGGCUUCAAAAUCGACUUUUAUUUUUCUUAUGCUUUAAUUUCACCAACACCUAUGUGCAUGCAAAAUAUUAAUUCGAAAUUCAAUCACAAAGCUCCUAGACCUGAUUCAGGCCCAAAACUUUAUUCUAUCGCCUCCAUUCUUGGCCUAAAUUAGGCCCAGGAGCUUCUGCUUUAUUUUACUCUUUUUUUUUUUUUGGCAUAAUAAGAGCUUCCUAGAGUUUCACAUGAAUCCGGCAAGAUCUAUUAAUUUUACGGGAUUUUUUUAUUGUUGAAAUUUUUUCAAAAUACGUAAAAUUAUUUCAGGCCUUGAAAUUGACUUCUUCUUUUUUUUUUCUUAUGCUUUAGUUUCACUAAUACCUAUGUGCGUGCAAAAAAGUAGCUCAAAAUUCACCUAUAAAGAUUUCAAGCCUGAUUUUGGCCUUAUAGGCUUUGGUUCUAAGCCUAAAAUGAGCCUAGGAGCUUGGACUUUAUUUUCCUAAGGUAUUUUCCACAAAAACCUUAUUUGAGUCAUAAGAAAGCCUAUCCAUAAUUUCACAUUGAAUCUGGUAAGUUCUCCUAACUUUUUUUUUUUUUUAAUAUUUGAAAAUACGUGAAAAAUAUUUCAGAUAUCAAAAUCGAUUUCUGUUUUUCCCUAUACUUCGGUUUCACCAAUACCUGCACCUAUGCAAAUAACCAGCUCAAAAUUCAACCACAAAGCUCCCGAGCCUCGUUCAGGGCCAACCAUCUCCUAUAAACCUUCCGUUCUGGGCCUAAACUUGGAUCAAGAGCUUCGGCUUUAUUUUCCAAGGGCCUUUUCCAUCAAAAUCCUAUUUGAGUCAUUAGAAGACAUCUCUCAGAGUUUACAUCAAUUCGAAAAGUUCUAUUAAUUUUUUGAAAAAUUUUUAUUUUCGAGAAAAUUUUACAAUUAAUAAAAAUUAUUUCGGGCAUUAGAGUUGACUUAUGGUUUUCUCCUAUCAUUUAGUUCCGUAAGUACCUAUUUGCAUGCAAAUAACCAGCUCGAAAUUUAACUGUAAAGCUCCCAAGCCCAAUUUGGACCUUGUGCUAUAAGCUUUCGAUUCUAGGCCUACAUUAGGCCCUAGAGCUUCGGCUUUUAUUUUCUUAGGGUUUUUCCAUUAAAAUCCUAUUUGGGGCAUAAGAAGGCCUCCGCCAAAAUUUCAGCAAGUUCGUUUAUUUUUUAAAAAUUUUUAAAAAUUAUUUCGGGCCUCGGAAUCGGCUUUCAUUUUCUCCUAGGCUUUAGUUUUACUAAUACCUACUUGCAUGUAAAAAACCAACUUGUAAUUCAACCUCAGAGCUCCCAAACUUGGUUUAGGCUCAAAACAUGCGCCAUGAAUUGUCGUUGUUAUUUUCAAAAUGUAGAAAAUAUGUCAUACGAUUUUUAUAAAAGUAAUCAACUGCAAAAUCAACUCUAAACCUUUUCUCACUCAACUAAGAAUAAUUUAGGGUUAUUAUUCUUUCACUACUUUAGCAAAAUAACAAACCGUUACACGAAUUAUUGGAGUACAACAUUUAUUAUAUUAACUAUAAAAAAUAAGAUAAUAAUACUUUUAUUUUACUUCCAUAUGUCAAGAUAUCACCACAAUGAUUAAUGUAAUAAAUCAUUGAAGUAGUGAAACGAUAAUCACGAACGAGACCACUUGGGGCUAUUUCUUUCGUAAUAACUGAGGAUUGAAAUUACUAGUAUCUUGGCAUUUAAAUGAAAAUUCAGCUAAUGGGAUAUGACACAUCUAGGAUUUAUGAUAGCAUGUUUAUAAAUGUUAGAUUCUUGGAUUAAAUAAAGAGCAUGCAUAUUAUUUAUUUAUUUAUUGUUAAUACUUUUAACUGCUGGUUACUGAGUAGAGGUAAGUAAUCCCACACCUGCUUCUCGUGCUAUAACCAAUCACAUUGUUACAGCACGGCAAAAUGAACAAAUAAACAAACUAGGGGAUGGCAAAAAUUGCACCGGGCGGAUAUGUGCUGGUGGGCUUAGGCCCGAUGUUUGGGCUAGGUUAACAAAGAUGUUUGCCAAGUGUUGAUAUUUGAUCCAUUAAUACAUGUCAGCAGCCCACAAUUUUCAAUUAAUCUCAUUUAUUUUUAGAAUUAUCCUCAUUAAAAACUCAAAAUUAAUGUUUAUUUUUCAACCUUUCUUUUCUUUCGCAUUUGCACUCUCUUUCUCUCUCUUUUCCAAGGAUCACUGCCGCACCCAUCUUCAUCACCACCAAAUCCAGCUCUAAAUAUCAAACAACAUUUAUUUCUAAUUUUUACCUUCUUUUUUUUUUUGUAAAAUAACAAAUUGGGUUAUAAAUCAAACUUGACAGAUUGUAAAUUUAACAUAUAUAUUUUACAUCUCUUCUAAACACUUGUUGCAUCGACAAUGACCAUUGUUAUUAAAUCAAUUUUAAUAAAAAAAAAAAAACUUGUUGAAUAUUAAGCACAUGCUUAUGCAAGCAAAAACAUUUGUUAGUCGUUAUCCUGUUAUCGGUAGCUCAUUUCAAGGAAGUCUAGAUCUGUUCAAUGCCGUAUUGAAAAAUCAAAAGAGAAGGCAACUUAUAGCGAAGUAGCAAAAGUAAUGAUCACAUUCAUUAUUACAAUAUAAAACAACAGACAAACAUAAAACAAUAAUAUAAUACGAGAACUCCAAUGAAAGAAUAGGUACUAUUAGCUAGCAGACAAACAAUGACUCAGGAACCUCGAAUCUCGGAAUCAAAUUAAUGUACGCAGACAGAAGACUAGCUCAACCCAUCAAGCAAACAUAUGUAGAUAUAUGAAGAAUCCGAUGACAAGGCUGCGUGGAACAAAUGCAACUGUGGCAUCUGAAGGAUUAGUGGUUUAAUUGGAUGGAGGUGGAGAGGGGAAAGGAAUAGUUGGGAUUGUGGAGGGAAUGUUUGGAAUUGAAGGGAUUGUAGUGGGAAUUGUUGGAAGUGGGUUUGAGGGCAAUGGAGGCAAUGUCACCUUCGGUACUGCUGGCAUAGGUGGCAGAGUUGGCAGCUUUGGAAGUGUUGGUUGAUUUGGUAGAGUUGGCAGAGGUGGUAGUGUGGCUUGUGGCAAAGUUGGGAUUGAGGGCAUUGGAGGCAACGCCACCUUUGGCAUUGGUGGUAGUGUCGGCAGUGGCGCCGCUGGUGCUUGCAAAAGAUGGCGAGCCGCCAUGCUCAUUUCAAAGCUUGCCAAUGAUGAUGCUAUAAUUAUAGAGAGAAGGAAGCAUUGCUUAAAAGAAGCCAUGUUUUUUAAGGAAUAUUUGAGAAGGCAGCUGGGGCAGCAAGAUCUUUUAUCUAUAUAGAGAAGUUCUGUUUGUCGCUUGAGUUGGGGAAAGCAGCUUCUUAUGGCUAUUUAUAGAGAAGAAAUGCUGCAGGAUUCAGAGAGUUUGAUGAGAUGUAGGUGGGGAAAGUCCUGAGAAGUGCAUUGGUUAGUUGACCUUCUCACCUAGCUAGCUUUGUUGCUAGUUAUGUAACGCAUCCUCUAUGGAAAGAAAUAUUACAGGCAACUUAACAUUGAAAAGUUUAGGGUAGACUAGACAUUAGAUUUGAACUGAACCAGCAUGCGUCAUCACAAAUUAUACAAAUUCAAGGAAUGUCAACUUACAACAUCAACUGUUACACUUGUAAUGUUUUCAUUUCACAAUAACCUUAAAGCUUUUAUGCUUGCAUUAGAUUUGAACUGAGCUACUACUACAACUUAUAACGAGGAUUUAGCCAACCUUACAAUUCCAGCGUCAGCCAAUAAUCUGUAUUCUAAGCUACUGGUAUAGUUGUUGAGAUUAUUGGUCACCAAAAUCUGCAGAUUCCUUGCUUUACAUUCUUUGUUAUUUAUUUACCUUAUUACAUCACUGGAUGACUGAGACAGCAACCCCUACAAAACCCCCUGCCCCAAAAAGCAUAUCCUUCAUCCUAUUAUUACCUGUAUUACCAUUAUAUCAUAUCAGUUUCCAUAAGCUCAAAUAGUCAGUGAUAAAAACGAAGUUUGCUACUGUUUCCUGGCGAAACAGGCCGAUCUAUGACUAAAUUCAAGGCUCUCUUAAGCAUCACCAUUCCUUCAUUUCCUUUGAAACCUUGAACCCACAGUACACACUUGAUCCUUCCACCCACUGGCACCAUCUCUGCCCUCACCAGCCUCCCUUUCACUGAUCUCAGUGCUCUUGAUAGAUCUGACAUUAGUUCCGGCUGAUCCUCACAACUCAGUGUCACUUUCAACAUCCCCCUAUCUCUGUUACAGUUGCGCAAACUUAGUUCAUUUGCCUCACUGGGGAAUACACAUUCCUCAUGAACCUGGCAAAGGGCUUUCUGUUCUCUUACUGUCCUCUGUAGCUCCCUCACAGUUUUAAUUGUCUUCGCCAGCACUGAUGCCUUGUCUACCUGUUGUUUUACAAUGACGAGCAAUUUUGUUGAUGCAUUUAUUAACCUUUUACAAUCAGAAUAUGCAUCAAAAGUAGCAUAAACAUUAGUCGCAUAGUUCUGCUCUUAAAUAAAUGUGCAUCCAUCACUUACUUUAACCAAGUUUGGUAGGAUUUUCCGGAGAUUAUCAUACUGGUCAUUUAUUCGCAGUCUUCGUCUCCUCUCAGCCUCACUAUGUUUCUUGGCGGCCAGUUCUUUGGCUUCAACUUUGGAUAUAGGUUUCGAGAUUAAACUUGGAUAGCAAAAAAUGUUGCUGGAGAUUGAUCCUUGUGUUAAGCUAAGUUGCUUCAAGUAAGCCAUUGAAUUAUAGUAACUUUGAACGGGUUUUACUCCUCGUUCUAACUGAAUGUGCAGAAUCAGAAAAGGUAACAGCACUUUUUAAACAAAUAGCAGAACAAAUAUUAAAAUAACAAGCAAAGAAAGAGAGAGACAGAGCAAAUGAUUACAAAUGAUACCUGUUGCAGUAAAACCAUGGUGGCAACACCAAUUUGCCUCUACAAAAACAGUUCCUUUCCAAUGAUGUAAAACAAUAAAGGGAAUAGGAGUGCCAAAUGCUGUUAUUGCCAGUAAAUCAAAUAAAUAAGUUGGCAUUGAGGUGAGGUGGAUUAAGCGACAUCAACCUAAUAAAUAGCCAUUUCAAAAAAAAAAACCUAAUAAAUAGCAAUUUAUGAGUAAUACAAGUGCCGAUUUCAUCAUAACUUUUAAGAUUCUGUAGUCUGAAAUGCUUGAUAUGGGUUGAUAUCUUCUCUGAGAAGAAUCCACAAACAAAUUUAUUUUUUUAUUAAUUGUAUAUCUAUUGAAAGGAUUGAAUAGUUCUACUGAAAUAUGAGAGAUUUCUUCUCAACAUUCUAUAUACUUCACCGUUGUUCCACAAUUGUGAAGCAACAUGAUUAUCACAAAAUCAUUCCAAAAAUUCAAUCAAUCCUGCCACCCCCUAAGAAUUCAAAUAGUAGAAAGUCAAAUAAAAGCUCAAAAACAAUAAUUUUCCAUUACUUUCAUCUGUCAGAUAACAACCUGAUUUCACUAUUCUUUUCAACUAUGUCUAUCAAGCAACAUACUAAUCCCAAAACCAUGGCCCCCCACUGUUAUAACCAUCAACUGUCAGAACCAAAUAAACAAACAGAAGAAAAAAGAGUAAUUCCCAUCAGCAAAUCGCAAGAGCCUACGCAUAUUCUCCAAAUUUACCCAUCAAAAAUAGACUUAACACCUACAUAAACAUCACCAUCUUUCUCAAUGAACUCCAAAUCAGUCUCUCCAGUUCCACUCCCCCUAACACUUCCUCCGUCAAUCUUCCUAAUCUUCAUACCUCUCCCCAUCACCUUCUUGGAAUUCCUCGGCACUGAUUUCACGUUCUUCCUUGCCACCACUCUCUUCUCUUCAUUUAUCACCUCUGUAUUUCCACUUUCCUGCAUCACACCCUUCACAUUUCCCUUCAAAACAUCUUCUUUAGCCCCAUUACCACUCUUCACAUUCACACCGCCACCAUCAUCCUCAUCACUGUCAUCAGAAAUCUCCACAACUUCACCAACAUUAUAAGUCUUCCCUUCAUCACCACUCUCUUUUUUCUUCUUACUACGCUUCAACGAAUACUUCAAAACAAAAUACCCUAACCCAGAGUAGUACUCAUCUCUACCCUCAACCAACAUAUUCUUGUUUGGCUCCACCACCGCCACCCCAUGAAACGCCCUCCUACAGUUCUGGCAUCUCAAGCAAAACUCUUCAAACGCCUUCUCAUACUCAUACAUGUAGUAACAGUACGGACACACCGUCCAAAAGGUUCCAUUUUUAUCAUUCUUUUCCUUAUUUUCAGCAUUUUCUUGCGCCCCCUUUUCGUUAUUUUUGCACCCAUCGUUGUUCCCACUCAAAUGGGUUUUCUUUGGUUUAAUUUCAUUAUAAACAUUCUUUCCCUUAUCCUCCUUCUUGCAAUGACUAGCGAGUUCGGGUCGAGACUCCAUUCCGGGUUCGGCUCUGGUGCUUUCUUGCUUCACUUUCAAUUGCUCAAUUACCUUUUUUCCUUUUUUCCUUUUUUCCUUCCAGACCGGUAGUCAAAGAAAAAGUGAAACAAAAAUCACAGCUUUGUUUGCAAUUGAAAUUUAAAAAAAAAAAAAAAAUCAGUGCAGAGAGAAAGCACUGAAUUUUCUAUAAUAAUAAAAAAAAAAAAAUUGAAAGAAAAACUCAGUGCAGAGAUAAAAGAGUGCUGGAUGUUUUGAGGAAAAUGACAGUGUGUCGAAUGCAUUUGGUAAAUCAGAGCCGUAGGAUUGAAGGUGAAUGACUACGUGGUGGCUUUGUGUUGACAGAUGGUGAGUGACGGGCUGACAGUGUUUCUGAUGGCGGGGUUUCCGCUAAACAGAGUGUUUUGUUCAUUUGGGGAAAUGGGGCCAGAAAAGGCACGGGACUCAGCUGGUAUGCAUUACUUGUGCCGCAAGCAACUCAGCCAGCUUCAGGGAUGUCUUGCGAUUAAUUUUGAGAAAUUAAAAGUAAUUUUAAAAAGAUAAAAAUUAAUUUUAGUGUUUAGUAAAGUUUUUAAAUAAUCACUUUCUUAUAAAAUUACUUCAUGUUAGUUUGGUAAUACUGUAGUUUUUAAAGUAAUUAUUGUUAGUUGUAUAGUAUAAAUAAUCAACUGUAAAGAUAAUUAACUAAACGUUUAAUCAAAUUUAUUUUUAAAAGUAUUGUAAGUUUUAAAAGUAGUAUAAUGUGCUUAGUAAAUAUUAUUGUUAAAUUGUUAUAAGAAUAUUAAAAUAAUUCAAUUAGCAUAUAUUGUUAAACAAAAUUUACUGUGUAUAUAUAAUAUUUAUAGCUAAAAUAAAUAUUUUAUACUAUUAAUUUUAUUUUUUAUUUUGUCAUCUCAAUAUAAAUGGUAAAAAUAACAAUCUCUUUAAAGUUAGUGAUUUCAUUUCCUAAUUAAUAAAGAUAAUUUUAAAUUUAUAUAUAUAUAUAAUUGUAUUAAAUAUAAAAGUGAUUCUCAAAAUUAGAUUUUAAAAAGUUAAUCCUUCCACAUUUUUCAAACAUUGUGGUAAGAUAGGGUGAUUUUAUCAAAAUUGAUUUUAAAAAAAAAAUUAACCAAACACCAAAAUUAGAUUUUAUCUUUUUAAAAUCACGUUUAAGUCUCUAAAAAAAAAUCUCAAACGGGUCCUUUAUCGUACGGGAGAUUUUAAAAAGUAUGAAAAAAAUAACAUUUUAAAAUCUGAUUUUGAGAAUCAAUUUCAUAGUUAAUACAAUUUCGUAUAUAUGAUCACAUAUACCAUAAAAUUAUUAAAGUUAGAGAAAUUAUUAUUAUUAUUGCUAAAUAUCAAUUGUAUUGAGAUAAAAAAAUAAAUAAAAUAAAAAUUUAUUUUAGUUAUCAGUGAUUAAUAUACACAAUAAAAAUAUUUUUUAUAUAUAUUCAUGAAUAUGUAAAUAAAUUUUAUUUAACAUUAUAUUUAUUUUAAUCAUUUGCACUAUUACAACGGUUCAAUUGCGUGAUUGGAAUAACAUAGGAACUCAUUUUUCUUGGGAUCUUUUUCUAGAUGUCUUCCAUGUAUCAAAAUUUUUUUACAGCUCACGUGCACGUAAUCGGAAAUGACAUAAUUAAUAGGGUUAAUUCACAUUAUCAUCCUGCCCGUAGGAAUGUCAACGGGUCAGGUUGGACUCGGGAAAGCCCGGGCCCAACCCUAUAACGGAAAUAAAAAGUCCAGUCCUUUGAGAGACGGGUCGGGCUCGAAAAAAUGCCAAGCCCGACCAUAAUUCAAAAAUCUUGAGAUUUUUUUAUUUUAAUAAAUAAUAAUUUAAAUUUGAAAAAAAAAAGAACUACAAAUCAAUUUUCCAAAAUCCUUUACUGUUGUAAUGAUGAUUAUCAAAAGAAAUAUAUAGGCACAUGACAUACUGAAAAAAAAAAAAUGCAAGCAUCAUCUUAGACAGACAUAAAUUAAAAUAAGAAAGAGAGCUUUAACAUAUAUUUGACCAUUUACAAUCAAUUGUGCAAGGGCCAAGCUAAAUGGAAUAGUUCAUGAGGGUCUCUGCAUCAAUGCCUUUGAUCCCUUCCAUACACAUAAAGCUUAUGAAUAGGCUGAAACUGAAACCAAUUCAGAGAUUGUGCUUAUGUUUUCUAGUCAAAUGAGACUACCGAGAGGAAAUUGUUUAGAGAACUCAUAGUAUAUUAGAGUGUUUCUUUUUCUUUCCUUUUCUUGUUUUUUUUUAACUUGAGCAAUAAUGAGUGAAGGGACUAUAAAUUUACUUAUUUUUAUGCAUUCAAUAUAUGUUUGUUAUCAUAAAGUUUUGUAGCAACCAUGUACACUUGUUUCCUUAUACAAUCUAGGUUAGAAAUUAAGUGCACCUUUUAUAAAAGCAAUUAUGAAUAUUAUUAAACAUCAUUAGAAACUAUUUUUCUAGCCAUAUGUUGGGAAAGAGACAACCACAAGUAGCUGCAAAUUAAGCGGAAACAAAACUUUUUCCCUCUUUAUGUGAUAAAAAUAAGGUGUGCACCACAAAUAAAUAGGCAGAAAAAUAAACCAAUAAAAUCCAAACAAAAAAUUAACCACAUGAGACACAUAAAUGGCUCAAACACUCUCAGUGAUGGCGACACUUAUUGCCACAUUCACGUUCACAGCAACCUUCACAAUUCCAGGGUCUUUCAAAAGUGAUGAUCUUGAUGCAGGCAUGGCAACUCUGCUUGGAAGAGCAAGUUUCCAUGCAUUUGUCAUCAUAGAUACCAUUAGGGGUGUUCAGAAUCCAAUCGAUCCGCUUAAUCCGUCUUAUCCGUAUAAAUCCGAUCCGUAGAUCUGUGGAUUGGAUAUGGAUUGAAAAUUUAAAAAUCCGCAGUCGAUGGAUUGGAUAUGGAUUUAUUUAUGUAAAUCCGUGAAUCCGCCAAUAUAUAUAUAUAUAUAUAUUUAGUUACAAAAUUAUUAUAAAUUUAAUUAAAGAAUAUUAUAAAUGUGACAUUAUAUAUUUACAUAAGCACUAUAACAUAUUUUAGCCAUUACCCAAUAAUAAUAUUAAAUAAAAAAUAAUUAAAUAAUCAAAUAUACAAAUAUAACUUGUAAAAAUUGUAAAACAAAAUAAAAGCAAAGUCACACGCACUAGCAAAAGCAAAGUAACAUAACGUUAAGUUACCAACAAUUUGUAAAGUCACCCAAAAGCAAAAUAACAUAACGUCAAGUCACCAACAAUUUGUAAACAAAAAACCCUAAGCUUCUCCGUUGUCACACGCACUUGCAACACCCACUACUGGUUCGAUACACUCUCGACACCGAUUUGAAGGACGUCGGCCCGUGAUUCCAGGGAGAGCAAACCAUCUUCUUCCCCGAAUCCAUCGAGCCACUUCACAAUCAUUGGUUCCAGCCAAACAAUUGCACUAUCAUAACCUUCAAGAUCGCCACCCAUACUUCUCCUGGUUCCCAUCGUUGACGGCUCCAUAAUCACCACUUUUCGACAAGUACAAUAGCCCUGGUGAAGGAUCAGUCUGUGCUUGGUUUCAGAAACUUUGUCAUUUCAAUUAAUUGUGGCUUUAUUUGACCAAUUAAUUUCAGUGUUAUAUUAAUGUAUUAUUGUAACUUUAUUUGAACAAUUAAUCUUAGUAUAUUAUAUUUUGAAACUUUAAACGUAUUAUUGUAGUUUUAUUUGAACAAUUAAUCUCGAUGUGCUAUAUUUUGAAACUUUGAAUAUAUUAUUUUAGUUUUAUUUAAACAAUGAAUUUGUUUAAAUUUUAUUCAAUUUUAAAUUUAAUCGGUAGUAAAAUUAUUUUUAUAUUAGAUUUUUUUUUUUAAUUUCAUUAGUUCAUGGAUUGGGGAGAACUAAAAAUUUUUAAUUCGGAAACUAAUGCGCAAAAUGGUGGAUUAGAUAUGGAUUAAGUUAAAUCUGCAUCCGAUCCGCAGACGUAUGGAUUGGAUAUGGAUUGAGUCAAAUCCGCAUCCGAUUCGCAGAUGUAUGAAUUGAAUUUGGAUUGAGUUUAAUCAAUCCGUGGAUUGGAUUGGAUUGAAACAUUAUAAUCCGUAAAAUUGUGGAUCGGAUAUAAAUUAAUAUCUAAUCCAUAAAAUCCGAUCCGCGAACACCCUAGAUACCAUAAUCGUGACUUCAGCCAUGACUGCAGCCGUUACCGUAUUUUGAUCAAAAGUGAAUCUUUUAUGGACGCACUUUCGUUGGCCAUUGGCUUCACUUAGAUUGCGCUCAUAUCCAUGACACUAGCAUUUGUGACAGGUUUGUAUGUAGUGUUGUCAAACAAUUUGGCCCUGGCGAUUGUGUUUUGUGUGAUUGGUUGCUUUUUGCCCUUCGUGUUUUAUGUCUUUUAUGUAGAAAACUCAAAGCAGAAAAAAUCAUAGUACCGUAAUUCGAUAAAAUCUUCCACUAUUUUAAUAGAAUUAUUGCACAAAUUUUUCUCUGAAUAAUAUUAAAAGCUAUCAACAUAAAAAAUUUCAAUAUUUUUAGCUUACAAUAACAUCCUAAUAAUUAUCUCUAUAACAAAUAAUAUCUCAAAUAAUAGUCAAUGAGAAGGUAAAUAAAAAUCAAGACUAAUAUAAUUAUAAAAGACGAUGUCAAAAAUUUACCCACAAAAAUUAAGAAAAAUCAAAAUUAAUUUACCUUCUGAUCAUCCAAUUAAAGAUUGAAAAUCUUGCUCCCAGCCACUGGGUUCUUCUCCCUUUUCCCACUCGUCUUUUUUACGAUUAUGUAAAUUAGAGCUGCCGCUUGCAUUUACAGGUAAAUUUCAUGGCAAUUUUCAUCCAACUCUAAACUUUUAUAUUAAUUGCACAUCAAGAAAGUCAUUUUAGACUUUUAGCUUUUGGGCUCCCAAAUGAGAUGGACUCAUGGACCCAACACCAUAAUUAGACCAUUGCAAUAUAAAUGCUUGAUGCAUUUAAAUCUUAAAGAAAAAGUGUAUAUAUUACUUGAGGCUUUUAAAUUACUUGGAAAGUAAUAUUGAAGCAAAAUAUCUAAUAUAGGUCAUGACCAAAAUGGCUCAUAGAGCAUGGUUAUGCGACAAGAUAACAUAAAGAAUAUUUGGUCCAAAAAAUAUUGUAAGACUAAAAUCCAAUUAAGUUUUUAACAACUAAUAAUAAAUAAUAAAUUUAUUUGGUCCAAAGAAUAUUGACAGAAAAAAAUUGUUUUUGAAGUAUUUUAAAAGAUAAUAUUGUAAGACUAAAGUAGAGUUAACACAUGGACAUGGUGGUAUGGAUGCAAUAACCUUGAAAAGAAUUGAGUAAUAUUUAAGUCAAAUGACACAUUAAAUGCAAAAGAUAAAGUACAUGUAAGUAAAUUUUUUUUUUAAAAAAAAGAAGUGCUAAGUAUUCUAUUUUUUUUUUAUAAAUAAUACGUGAUUCAUUAAUUGAAUUAUAAAAUAAUAUAAUUAAUUAAUUUAUAUAUAUUUUUAAAAAUAUUAAGUACUUAUGUAAAUGAUAUGUCACAUAAUACAAUUUGAAAUGUCUAUUAUAUAUUAUUGUUAUUGUCUCAUUAUAUACUUCUCAUAUUAACAAUGAGAGAAUAAGAUUGUAGCAAUCCCUUUAGAUAGGUUACAUUAGUAAGAGCAAUAAUAUUUGACCCUCCCUCUUUAUCUCACUACAUCUCACAUUUCAAUUAAUUUUAUUUAUCUCCUAAUUACCCUUAUGAAAAAUAAUGUUUAUAUGUAUAUAUUCUCAAUUGCUCUCUUCUCAAUUUCUUGGAUUUUCAAUGAAUAGCAUGGGGAAACCUCUCACUUAUAGUUUUGACGGCUUGACUACAUUACCUUCGUCACCUUGCUUUUGUCCCCUAGUUGCUGACAGCAAUUGGCAAGUAACCCUCAGAGGAAUUAAGCCAUUUGCUGACAACUUUAUGCAAAAAUCUGAUUAUAUUCCUUUUUUUUCGCGGCGGGGGGGUAAUCAUUUUCUUCUAAUUAGAAGAAGACUACCUGCUUUUUCAGUCUUCCAGGAGUUCUCUCCAUUGCACAACAGGAGUCGGACACAAUAAUGAGGACUAAUGGCACCAGCUACUCUCCUUUCUUUGAUCAAAAUUAAUAACCCAAGAGACGAGAGAAAUAGCAAAUGAGAAAGAAUUGAAUAUAUUCACACACACACACACACACACACACACACACACACACACACACACACAUAUAUAUAUAUAUAUAUAAAAGAUAAUCAAGAAAAUAAAUCAAUUUAAUGAGAUAAAUAGAGGGAUCAAAUAUAAUUACUUCAUUGAUCAUCAGAACAGUUAAAUGGGUCAGGCCCAAGUAAACUCGACAGACCCAUAUUUGGGUCGUUGCCAAACGAUAUGGAUCUGUGUUAGGUCCAGACUUGAGAGAUACGUACUUGAACUCCUCUGGAAUCGGCUCGACUUAAUGGGUUCAACUUCCACCUUAGAGACAUGAAGUUUAUGAAACAUAUCCCAAUGUCUCUCACUCCAUCUCUAUUCUCGGAGAUUAAUUCUUGUAGAAGAAAGUAUAAAAUUCCUCAACUGGCAUUUUAACGAGACAUAUCCACUUCUGGCAUAUGUUUUCCACGAUAAGUGGGCUGUGUCAUCCACUUAAAAUUUAAAUUCAAAGAAUGAGUUCAACAACAAGCAACAUAAUCUAGAUAUGAGAAGGUAAACUAACCAAUGUAUGUACUUUCUCAACACUUCCCCCACCUACAUCUCAUCAAACUCUCUGAAUCCAGUAACAUUUUCUCUAUAAAUAGCCAUAAGAAGCUGCUUUGACUUACUCAAAACACAAUCAGAACUUGCGUCCAUAUUCCACAUAGAUCAAAAGCUUGCUUCCUGCUUUUUCCAAUAUUGGUAAAACAUAAAAUGGCAGCUCUUAAGCAUUGCUUUCUGUUAUCUAUGCUUGUAGCAUUAUCAUUGUCAAGUUUUGAAAUGAGCAUUGCAGCUCGCAAUCUUUUGCAAGCACCAGCGGGGCCUCUGCCAACGCUUCCACCAAUGCCUAAGGUAGCAUUGCCUCCAAUGCCAUCGAUCCCAACUCUGCCGCAAGCCACACUUCCACCAUUGCCAACUCUGCCAAAUCAACCAACUCUUCCAAAGCUGCCAACUCUGCCUCCCAUGCCAGCAGCACCAAAGUUGACAUUUCCUCCGUUACCCUCAAAUCCAAUUCCCACCACAAUCCCUUCAAUUCCAAACAUUCCCUCCACAAUCCCAACUAUUCCUUUCCUCUCUCCACCCCCAUCUAACUAAUUAAACCCACUUAUUUUUUCUUCGGAUGCUACAGUUCCAUGUGUUUCUCGUAGCCUUGGUAUUGCUUUUGCUUCAAUUUAUAGUUAUAGCCGGGUUUGCUUACAGGGUUGAGCUAGUCUUGUGUACUGUUAGUGCCUGAGUUGCUGAUCUUUCAUUUCUCUUUUGUGCAUUAUAGCAUCAGUCUUCGCUCGUUUCUGUUUGAUUGCAGAUGUAUUUGUCACUUGUAUUUUAAUAAUGAUUUAUACUAUACGUCAUUUAUUUUGCUAUGCUGGUGUGUUGUGUGUCUCUGUAUAUAUACUCCUUAGUCCUCCUCCCCGCAGAAAAUGAGAAACAUUAUUUGCAUCAGGAAAAUAAUAUGCAGCAGUAAACUAGCUUAACGAUGAUAAAUAUUCAUGAACUUCCAUAUGUUCCCAUCAAAUUAUGAUGUUCAUAACGAUUUGAAGUUGACAUUCGUAGUUGAAAUUUGAUUAUCAAAACACAGCCUGACACAAAAAUGGGAAUUAGAAAUAGAGUUCCCUUGGGCCCAAAUUAAUUUCUUAUUAAAAAAUUGUGUACAUUCUCAAAAUAAAUAACAAGAGUUAAAUAAUCAUUAAUAAAACUUAUGCUUAAGAUUUUGGAUUUAGACAAUAAACACGAUCACAAUCUUGUAAAAAUUAAGCACACCAUAAACUCAAAUUAGAACUGAAUCCAAACCAUGCUUAUGCAAGCUUUUGCUUAUUUUGAGACUAAUAAUUAAUGGAUAAUGCUCCUACCUUAUAUCCAUAAAGAUAAAACUGAGUAAUAUCUAAAAAAUCAUUCAAACAUAGUUUAAUGCAGUACAUAAUUAAAUAACAAAACACAAUUUUGAAUUUUCCCUAAAACACAGAUUAUACUAAAAUAAAACAAUUUGGAUAAUGAAAGCAAGAAAAAUAGAUAAAUAAAUACCUUGUGACUAUGAAAAAGAUUCGAUCUAAACCUGAAGAAAUAAUUGCAGAAUGUAUCAGUUUGCCAACUGUUCCUGACGGUAAAAAAUUGAAGAUCAUUGAAUGAUAAAUUCUAGCCGAUAGUAAACUUUUUACCUCUCGACAAUUAAUUAAAAAUAAUAAUUCAUGAGUGGUCAGCUUAGUAAACAACAGGCAGGGCAAUAGAUCCGAGAUCUUUUGGAUAGUUUCGUAAAUUCAGAAGUUAAUGAAAAACUUCGAGCAUGUUAGUAUUAAGUAUACGCAUAGAUCUUGUAAUGCUAUUGCCCACUCUUUAGCUAAGUUAGCUUUAGAGAAAUGCAAAAUUGUUGUAUGGAAGGGUUCAUACCCUCCACAAGUGAUGUAUCUUUUUUCCGCUUUGUAUUAAUAGAAAUCUCUUUUCAAAAAAAAAAAUACUAAUAAUAAUUAAUGAGAUAGAAUAAAAAAAAUACUAUUCCAACUUUAAAAAAAGGAGAAUAUCCCCCCAAAAAAAUACAAAAACCCAAAAAAAAAAGGUAGAGAGGUGGGAUAUGCCAUGCUUUGAUUUAUCUUCUAAUAGCAAGUCUUCAGAUCAUUUUGAGCUUAUAGCUAUCUACAAGUACUUUGUUUAUUGGUCCCAAAAAAAAAAAAAAAACAUGUUUAAGAGUUCUACCUUUUAAAGAAAAUUAUAGCUUAAAAUAUUUAACUAGUGUCAUUCAAGUUAAUGUUAGAGAUUUGGGUUAAUAUUUCAAAAUACUAAUAUUUCGCAUUACUAAAAGAAGAGAGUACAAAUUGAUUUAUGUAUAGAAAGCAAAUAUAAUAUGGUAACAAACCCGUUAAGAGGAGGCUCAUGCACACGAAAUCAAUCUCAACAAAGGAGCUCAUACUAAAAACCUAUUAACAUACAUAGGUUUGGCCUCUAUUUAUGUUUAUACCCUUUGAUUUAUUUUUAUUUAUUUUUAUUUGAAUUAUAUUGAGGAAGGAAUUAUUUAUAUCACACGAUCUGUAUUUAAAAAUUUUUCUCUCUGUUUCUUCUAUUCUCUUCAUCAUUUAUAUACUUUUAGCUAUUCAAGUUUAUCGUGCUAGAAGUUAGCAUCACGACAGUAGUUAUUGUAUCCUUAAGAUUAAACUGCUUUUUUAAUCCUUACACUAAAAUAUCAAUUCUUAAGGUUUAAGAUUUAAUCUUAAGGACACUGCCAUCGCACGCUUUGAUUGAUUGCUAUUUGCUAUUUCACAUCUCCACUCGUACUUCCAUGAAUUCAAAUUCUAAACUCCAUGACGUGGCUAAGUUGUUUGAACGAAGUAUGACGGUUGAGAAAAAUUCCUCAUCUGGCAUGUUCAUGAAUCAGACGCAUUGAUAACUGAUAUCAAUGGCUGCGUCAUCCAUUCAAAUUUCAAAGAAAGAGUUCAAGACGCAACAAGUCUAGAUGAGAAGGUCAACUAACCAAUACUAUUUCUCAAAACUCGGCCACCUACAUCUCAUCAAACUCCAUGAAUCCUUCAGCAUUCCUUGCUCUAUUAAGUAGCUAGCCAUCACAAGCUGCUUUCUCCAACUCAGAGCGCAGACAGAACUUCUCCUUAAAAAUUAAAAAAACUUGCUGCUUUCUCCAAUAUUUCCUUCUAAAAACAUGGCUGCUCUUAAGCAUUGCUUCCUGCUCUCCAUAAUUAUAGCAUUAUCAUUGUCAAGUUUUGAAAUGAGCAUGGCGGCUCGCCACCUUUUGCAAACACUUCCACCAAUGCCAAAGGUGGCGUUGCCUCCAAUGCCAUCAAUCCCAACAUUGCCUCAAGCCACACUACCACCUCUGCCAACUCUACCAAAUCAACCAACACUUCCAAAGCUGCCAACUCUGCCACCUAUGCCAGCAGCACCAAAGGUGACAUUGCCUCCAUUGCCCUCAAAUCCACUUCCAACAAUUCCCACUACAUUCCCUUCCAUUCCAAACAUUCCCUCCACAAUCCCAACCAUUCCUUUCCUCUCUCCACCUCCGUCUAACUAAUUAAUCUAUUCUUCGGAUGCUGCAGUUCCAUGGGUUCCUCAGUGCCGUUUAUUUGUUCUGCUUCAAUUUUUAGUUAUAUACUGGAUUCAGUGAAUAUUGUGUACCUUACUUUGUAUUGAGUUACUGGUAUUUCAAUUCUAUUUUAUGUGUGGCGCCGCCAUUCUAUACUCGUUUCUGUUUCAUUGCAGUGCGCUACUCUAGAUAUGUAGUUGUCACUUGUAUUUUUACAAUAAUGAAUACAGUAUAUCAUUUCUUUUGCUAUUCUGGUAUAUGUAAGCUCCUUUCAUCAGGAACCUAAAAAAAAAAAAAAAUGGCUGCAGAAAACCAGCUUGACUCAAGUGAAAAAAAAAUAUAAACUUCCAAAAGAUUCCAUCACAUCAUGAUGAGUAUAACGAUUGAAGUUGACAAAAUAUCAGUGACAACUGAUUGUUCCACUCAGUCUAAGCGAAAAUGGAUUAGAUAUACAGUUCUCCAACAUAAAAACGGACAUUAGACCAAAUAUGUCAGGAAUUAAUGAUAACAAAACACAGAAGUUGUGUAUGUACUUCAUAUUUCCAAGAAACUAUAAACAACGAGACUUGGAAAAUUGUUUGCGAAUGUUUCCGCUCACACAAGUUUAUUCCUUUGAAUGUACAUAUUUCACAAUCAAAUCACUGUAUGGCGUGCAUUACCAACGAAAGUGUCCUAUUUAAUUCAUUUGAAUUCACUCAUGGUCACAAGGAAGACUAAUGUACACCAUACGAAACAAUUCAACCCAAGAUUUUAAAACGUUUAUAUGUAUGCUUCGGCAUAUACUUCUAUUUAAUUAUAUAGAUUACAGAUUGCAUUUGGGCACCAAAUAUGCUCUUAUCUUAUGAAGAAAUGAUUUUUCUGCUUGGUUAUGGUCCUAUUUAGGAUUGAGAUGUUAUAUCUUAAAAAAAUUACAACUACUGUGAAAAAAAAAAUUGUAACUAUAAAACAAAAAUUAAUAAUUUAUAGUAAAUAUAAAUUUUAAUUUUGACAAAAUUAUUAAAGAUAUAAUUUCAUUGGCAUUCUGAUCAGUUCAAUUGCCCAGUGGGGAGUAACGAUUCAUAACCAGGUGAUUAUGUCGCUAGGGUGAGAUAAAGCUAAAAUAGUUUCUUCCUGUUUCCUUUGUAGAAACUGAAGGGCACUCAAUUGCUCUAACACCUUCAGCUUCUGCCCAAGAUCCAAGAUCAGAUUUCUAGAUGCUUGACUAUAGAUGACUUGAAAAAGGUUUAACCAAGAACUGCGACUAAACUGAACAAUCAAUGGUUUUAAGAAUCAAAGAAUUGAAAAACAAACUAAAGAAUAAAGAACAGAAGAGGUUUUAACGCGGUUCAGCUAAAUCACUUAGCUUACAUCCACGGAGGAACAAGACUUCAGGCUUUUAUUGAAUGAACUCAAGAUUACAGAGAAUUACAGAUUGUAUCUCAUGGAAUUCCACUCUUGUAUUAUGAGAGAUAAACCCCCCUUUAUACUCAUGACUCGUAGCCAGCUUAUUUGCAACAGAAUCAGCUCCUUCCAGUUGCUGGUAACUUCCUGGAAACAAUUCCAGAUGCUCACGUGCAAGCCAUGCUUCACUAACGACUUUAACAGCUUAGAUUAUUAGAAUCCAUUCACGUGCGCAUCAUGUGUUUCACUAACUUAAACGACAGUCAUAGAUGCCGUUUUAGUUAGCUCUGUAUUUAAACACCAAAACACAUUAUUCUCACGUCGUUUCAAAGCCACUGAAUUGCUUUCACUGGUUACUUUACACUUCUGCUAAGAAGAAAAGACAGAGAAAGAAACAUGGUUUCUUUCGGUUAGAUUUUUUAUUUGAAUUUGAAAAAAGUGUGGCUAGGGAGGUCAACUAACCGAUGUUACUUUACAGUUUUUUCCAACCACAACUCAUCAAACUUAUGGUCGAUUUGUCCAAAUAUGCACAGACCUUCAAUAUUUGUUCUCUAUAAAAAAAACUUAUUGAACAAGGACUGCUCUGCUAUUCAACACGCACUUAUUAGAAUUUUCCUCAAUGCACUACAGGCAAAUCUAAACAAGCUAGCUCCUUCUAUAAACCAGGGCUUCUCUUAAGCUAUGUUUCAUGAUAUUGUUAAUUAUGAGUAUAACAUUGUCUUGGUCAAGCAUUGAAAUAAGCAUGGCAGCUCGCCACCUUCUGCAGACAGCAGUGGCGCCACCUCCGGCACCACCUCUGCCAAAGGCCACAUUGCCUCCAAUGCCGUCAAUAACCACUCUGCCACCAUUACCUUCUACUACUCCGUUGCCAACGCUGCCAAAACCCACCUUAAUCGCCAAGCACCCAAAUCCCAUCUCCGCCUAAUCCAGCGUUGCCUGCAGCACCGAAGGUGACACUGCCUCCAUUGCCCACAGCUCCAUUACCGUCAAUUCCCACGACAAUCCCUUCGAUUCCAACCAUACCAACAAUUCCCUUCCUUUCUCCACCACCAUCAAGCUAAACCAUGCACCUAGUCAUCAGGAUGCCGCCAUAUAUACAUUAAAGGCUUCUUGGUGUACCACAACGAGAUGCUUUCCUUUCAUGUUUUUCAAUUUGGGAUAUCAUAAAACCUACCAAGGUUUUCAUACUUUUGUUUUUCUUCUUUAUAGACCUGAGUUGUCCAUAUUUUUAUUUGUUUCAAGGAUUUAAGGACUUGACUUUUCUUUUAUUGUGGAGUCAUUUUCUUUGGAUUUUUUAUUUAGUUUUAUUUGUUGAUAGUUAAUUAUUAGACGGAAUUCACUAUAUUUAUUUUUUGGGGGUCUUGAAGCCCCAAGAAUAUGGAGAAUGCCCAAAGAAAUACCAAACAGUAAAGGAAGGAGAAUGGAAAUGAUAUUAGAAUUUUAGAAUUUAUCUUUCUCCCUUUAAAUUCCUUCGUAGUCUUGACAUGAUAAGACCUUCAAUACAACCCAUUCCAUAGACCAAAAGGCUCGCUCUAACUAAUUAUCUUCUUCACUAAACAAGCCAAACGUCUCCCUACUGAUGAAAUGGACAUCAACUUAAUUAGAGGUCUUAAGGAGACUAAUAAACAUGAUCUGCCCCCCAAGAAUCAGAAAGGCCUUGACUUCUUUAAGGUAAUUAAGAUCUAAAAAUGACCUACUACCUAUAAGGUAUUUUCAACCCCAAUAAACCUAAAGAAGCAACUAAUUAAAAAAAAAAACACGUGUACAACCAUGAGAAAUAUCCCGAGGGCUCCAACAUUUGAUUGUAAAGCAAAUAUACCAUCAUGCCCCCACUUGGGGAGGGGUUGGACCAAUAAGUCUCUCCCAUGUGUCUAUACCGACUCAAAGACACCCUUAGGGGCAACCUGUAAAAAAGAUUAACUUCAUAUGUAAAAGACGUCUUCUUCCUCAUAACUCAUCUUCUUUGCAUUAUUGCUCUUUGAUCAUUCUUUACUCUCAAACCAGCCCAAUUUGACGUUGAAGUGUCGUCAUCGAUCACUCAGGCGCCAACUUCUAAUGGUAUUCUCUUUUAUAAAUCUUAAAAACGCCUACACCGUCACAUAUUUCCAAAGAAAAACUUUUCUGUCAUUCCUUCCCCCAAAAGACCAUUUUCCUCUAAUGUUCUAACUCACUAAAAAUUGACUAAAACAUUCUUGCCGUUGGGAGUGGCAGAUUCCUCUGUCUCAUGAUUGGGUCUGUGUUAUUGCUGCUGCUACUCUUUUGUUCUUAUAUGAAGUUUGUUUUUUUUUUUUUUUUUUUUUUUUUUUUUUUUUUUUUUUUUUUUUUUUUUUUUUUUUUUAAUUCAAGUCCUUACUUGAAGUUAAGGCAAAAAGGAAACAAAGCACCAUCUUGCACCUGUCAAUAUUUGGGAGAUUCAAAUAUUUUUGAAUAUCUAUAAAUUAACCAUCAAAAGCAUUAAUGUCCAUACAGC